GACGAACGCUGGCGGCGUGCUUAACACAUGCAAGUCGAACGGAAAGGCCCUGCUUUUGUGGGGUGCUCGAGUGGCGAACGGGUGAGUAACACGUGAGUAACCUGCCCUUGACUUUGGGAUAACUUCAGGAAACUGGGGCUAAUACCGGAUAGGAGCUCCUGCUGCAUGGUGGGGGUUGGACAGUGUCGGCGGUUGGGGAUGGACUCGCGGCUUAUCAGCUUGUUGGUGGGUCGUGGCUUACCAAGGCUUUGACGGGUAGCCGGCCUGAGAGGGUGACCGGCCACAGAGGGCCGUGGAUACGGCCCAGACGCCUACGGGAGUCAGGCGUGGAGAAUAUUGCACAGUGGGCGGAAGCCUGAUGCAGCAACGCCGCGUGCGGGAUGACGGCCUUCGGGUGGUAAACCGCUUUCGCCUGUAACGAAGCGUGAGUGACGGUAAUGGGCAAAGGAGUACCGGCUAACUACUU
rnacentral:rRNA from 1 species